AUUUGAUCCAGUCAGUGGCAUGAAUGUGCUCAGAGUUUGCAGGAUUAACCAGAGUUCUGCUUUGCAAAGAGCUGGUCGUGCUGGGAGAACAGGACCUGGAAUAUGUUAUAGACUCUAUUCAGAACAUGAUUAUGACUCGAUGUCUCUCAAUCAGGAACCUGAGAUUCGGAGAGUUCAUCUUGGUGUCGCGGUUCUGAGGGUACUUGCUUUGGGAGUCAGAAACAUACAGGACUUUGAUUUUGUUGAUGCUCCUUCUGCCUUUGCUAUUGACAUGGCCACUAGGAACCUUGUUCAGCUAGGUGCCAUCACGAAGAAAAAUGAUGUUUAUGAAUUAACUGAGGAAGGUUGCUACUUGGUUAAAUUGGGUAUUGAGCCUUGCCGUGGCAAGCUCAUUCUCAGUUGCUUUCAUCAUGGCUUGGGCAAAGAGGGCAUUGUUCUUGCUGCUGUAAUGGCAAAUUCCAGUAGCAUAUUUUGCAGAGUUGGUAACGAUGAUAAUAAGCUAAAAGCUGAUUGUCUUAAGGUGCAGUU
rnacentral:misc_RNA from 1 species